rnacentral:rRNA from 1 species
GGGGAAUAUUGGACAAUGGGGGCAACCCUGAUCCAGCAAUGCCGCGUGAGUGAUGAAGGCCUUCGGGUUGUAAAGCUCUUUUGGCGGGGACGAUGAUGACGGUACCCGCAGAAUAAGCCCCGGCUAACUUCGUGCCAGCAGCCGCGGUAAUACGAAGGGGGCUAGCGUUGUUCGGAAUUACUGGGCGUAAAGCGCACGUAGGCGGAUUUGUUAGUCAGGGGUGAAAUCCCGGGGCUCAACCUCGGAACUGCCUUUGAUACUGCAAGUCUCGAGUCCGGAAGAGGUGAGUGGAAUUCCUAGUGUAGAGGUGAAAUUCGUAGAUAUUAGGAAGAACACCAGUGGCGAAGGCGGCUCACUGGUCCGGUACUGACGCUGAGGUGCGAAAGCGUGGGGAGCAAACAG